rnacentral:misc_RNA from 1 species
GAUGAAGAACGUAGCGAAAUGCGAUACUUGGUGUGAAUUGCAGAAUCCCGUGAACCAUCGAGUCUUUGAACGCAAGUUGCGCCCGAAGCCACUAGGCCGAGGGCACGCCUGCCUGGGCGUCACACGUCGUUGCCCCCCCCCCAUCUACUCCUUCGGGAUUGCGGGGGGCGGAUGAUGGCCUCCCGUGCGCCUAGCCGCGCGGUUGGCAUAAAUACCAAGUCCUCGGCGACGCACGCCACGACAAUCGGUGGUUGCGAAACCUCGGUUGCCCGUCGUGUGCGUUCGUCGCGCAUCGAGGGCUCGAAAAAAUGCUCGACUCCGGCUCGGCUUUCAACGCGACCCCAGGUCAGGCGGGGUUACCCGCUGAAUUUAAGCAUAUCAAUAAGCGGAGGA